rnacentral:rRNA from 1 species
GAUGAACGCUGGCGGCGUGCCUAAUACAUGCAAGUCGAGCGAACAGACGAGGAGCUUGCUCCUCUGACGUUAGCGGCGGACGGGUGAGUAACACGUGGAUAACCUACCUAUAAGACUGGGAUAACUACGGGAAACCGGAGCUAAUACCGGAUAAUAUAUUGAACCGCAUGGUUCAAUAGUGAAAGACGGUUUUGCUGUCACUUAUAGAUGGAUCCGCGCCGCAUUAGCUAGUUGGUAAGGUAACAGCUUACCAAGGCAACGAUGCGUAGCCGACCUGAGAGGGUGAUCGGCCACACUGGAACUGAGACACGGUCCAGACUCCUACGGGAGGCAGCAGUAGGGAAUCUUCCGCAAUGGGCGAAAGCCUGACGGAGCAACGCCGCGUGAGUGAUGAAGGUCUUCGGAUCGUAAAACUCUGUUAUUAGGGAAGAACAAAUGUGCAAGUAACUAUGCACGUCUUGACGGUACCUAAUCAGAAAGCCACGGCUAACUACGUG